rnacentral:miRNA from 1 species
UGUACCACCUUGUCGGGUAGCUUAUCAGACUGAUGUUGACUGUUGAAUCUUAUGGCAACACCAGUCGAUGGGCUGUCUGACAUUUUGGUAUC